UACGAAGGGGGCGAGCGUUGUUCGGAAUUACUGGGCGUAAAGGGCGCGUAGGCGGCGCCGGAAGUCAGGCGUGAAAGCCCCGGGCUCAACCUGGGAGGUGCGCUUGGGACUCUGGUGCUGGAGUUCGGGAGAGGAGAGUGGAAUUCCCAGUGUAGAGGUGAAAUUCGUAGAUAUUGGGAAGAACACCGGUGGCGAAGGCGGCUCUCUGGACCGAGACUGACGCUGAGGCGCGACAGCGUGGGGAGCAAACAGG
rnacentral:rRNA from 1 species